GUCAAAUUGCUCUAUUGAUGUACAACUUUAGAUACAGUGCAGGUUUUCCUGAAACAUUAGCAAGGAAGAAGAUGUCCCUAGAAAAUGCAGUUCUAAGAUAUCUAAUUUGCUGACUCAGACCCUUUCCCACUUCUUCAAUUUCUUAUAAAGACCUCAUCUUCUCCCCCUCACAGCACAAUUGCUACCUUGGAAACUUGCCCACAACCCCUCGUGACAUUGUAUCCUGAUCUAAGUAAACUCUUGGCUUUAUUUUUACUCUGCUUUUGGUUCUUCAUGACUGACAAGUUACACAUGUUUUCCAGCCAGCCUGUCACGCCUGAAUCUCCUGCCUCAGUUCUCCUAGUUGUCUUUUGAAUUGUUUUACAUUUAGACUGCAUUCGUACAUUAAAAUUUGCUUAUUUGCCUUUUCAAUCUCUAGAUACUCUUGCUCUUUUUUUCCUUCUUAUAACUUAUAUGAAGAAGUAAUUCAGUUGUUCCUUCUAAACUUUAGGAGUUUAGGAAUAGAC
rnacentral:lncRNA from 1 species